rnacentral:rRNA from 1 species
GAUGAACGCUGGCGGCGUGCCUAAUACAUGCAAGUCGAGCGAACGGACGAGAAGCUUGCUUCUUUGAUGUUAGCCGCGGACGGGUGAGUAACAUGUGUAUAACCUACCUAUAAGACUGGGAUCACUUCGGGAAACCGGAGCUAAUACCGGAUAAUCUUUUGAACCGCAUGGUUCAAAAGUAAAAGACGGUCUUGCUGUCACUUCUAGAUGGUUCCGAGCUGCAUUAGCUAGUUGGUAAGGUAACGGCUUACCAAGGCAACGAUGCAUAGACGACGUGAUAGGGUGAUAGGCCACAUGGGAGGGUGGACGGGGACCAUAGGACUGCGGGAGGCAGCAGAAGGGAAUCGGCCGCAGGAGGGGGAAGUCUUGCGGAGCAGGGCCGAGUGAGUGAUGGAGGUCUUCGGUGCGUAAAACUGUGUUAUGAGGGAAGAACAGAUGUGGAAGGAGCUGUGCAGAGCUUGACGGUACCGAAUCAGAAAGCCACGGCUAACUACGUG